rnacentral:misc_RNA from 1 species
GAGUUAGGGUCCUUUUGGGCCUGACCUCCAACCCUUUGUCUAUCUUACCUCAUGUUGCUUCGGCGGGCCCGUCUUUAAACGGACCGCCGGAGGGUUUAAUUACCCUCUGGCCCGCGCCUGCCGAUAGCCCCCAAUUAAACUCUUGUUAAGAAACGUGUCGUCUGAAGUAUACAAACAAAAUAAAUAAAAACUUUCAACAACGGAUCUCUUGGUUCU